rnacentral:rRNA from 1 species
CCUGGUUGAUCCUGCCAGUUGUCAUAUGCUCAUCUUGAAGAUUAAGCCAUGCAUGUCUAAGUAUAAAUGACUUUGUACAGUGAAACUGCGAAUGGCUCAAUAAAUCAGUUAUAGUUUAUUUGAUGAUACCUACUACAUGGAUAACUGUGGUAAUUCUAGAGCUAAUACAUGCGACAAGUCCCGACUUUUUGAAGGGAUGCAUUUGUUAGAUACAAAACCAAUGCGCCGGGUCAAACCGGCGGAUUUGGACGAUUCAUGAUAACUUGGCGAAUCGCACGCUCUCGCAGCGGCGAUGCUUCAUUCAAAUUUCUGCCCUAUCAAGUUUUGACGUUAGGGUAGUGGCCUAACGUGCUUGUAACGGGUGACGGAGAAUUAGGGUUCGGUUCCGGAGAGGGCGCCUGAGAGAUGGCGACCACUUCCAAGGAAGGCAGCAGGCGCGCAAAUUACCCAAUGCUCAAAGAGCGAGGUAGUGAAGAUACAUAACAAUAGUGGUCCCUUACGGGACUACUAAUUGGAAUGAGUACAAUUUAAAUCCCUUAACGAGGAACAAUUGGAGGGCAAGUCUGGUGCCAGCAGCCGCGGUAAUUCCAGCUCCAAUAGCGUAUAUAAAAGUUGUUGCAGUUAAAAAGCUCGUAGUCGGAUGUCGGGGCGUGACGGGUCCGGUCUGCCGGAACGGUGUGUACUGGCUCGUCUGCCCUUCCUUCCGGUUUGCCGGCGGCUUCCCUUAACUGGGCGGCCGUCUUCGGCUCCGGAUCGUUUACUUUGAAAAAAUUAGAGUGUUUAAAGCAGACUUCACGUCGUCUUGAAUACAUUAGCAUGGGAUAAUGGAAUAGGCUCUUGCGUCUAUUUUGUUGGUUUCUGGAAGCGAGAGAAUGAUCAAUGGGAAUCGUCGGGGGUAUUCAUAUUUAAUUGUCAGAGGUGAAAUUCUUGGAUUUAUGAAAGAUGAACAUCUGCGAAAGCAUCUAUCAAGGAGGUUUUCAUCGAUCAAGAACGAAAGUUAGGGGAUCGAAGACGAUCAGAUACCGUCGUAGUCUUAACCAUAAACUAUGCCGACCAGGGAUUGGGAGACGUUCCAUGUACGACUCGCCCAGCACCUUGAGAGAAAUCACAAGUCUUUGGGUUCCGGGGGGAGUAUGGUCGCAAGUCUGAAACUUAAAGGAAUUGACGGAAGGGCACCACCAGGAGUGGAGCCUGCGGCUUAAUUUGAC